AUUGAACGCUGGCGGCAUGCCUUACACAUGCAAGUCGAACGGCAGCACGGGAGCAAUCCUGGUGGCGAGUGGCGAACGGGUGAGUAAUAUAUCGGAACGUGCCCAGUCGUGGGGAUAACGUAGCGAAAGCUACGCUAAUACCGCAUACGAUCUAUGGAUGAAAGCGGGGGGAUCGCAAGACCUCGCGCGAUUGGAGCGGCCGAUAUCAGAUUAGGUAGUUGGUGAGGUAAAGGCUCACCAAGCCGACGAUCUGUAGCUGGUCUGAGAGGACGACCAGCCACACUGGGACUGAGACACGGCCCAGACUCCUACGGGAGGCAGCAGUGGGGAAUUUUGGACAAUGGGCGCAAGCUUGAUCCAGCAAUGCCGCGUGCAGGAUGAAGGCCUCGG
rnacentral:rRNA from 1 species